AACGCUAUUAUUGAUACAGUUUCUGUACUAUAUUGUGUGUUAUUGUCCGCGCCAGAGUGGAAAGAGAGGAAAAAAGAAUAAAAAGUAGUAAAUAGUGGAGGACUGCUUCGCAGCUGCCCUGCCGCACUGCUUUUGCUGCUGCUGCUGGGUUCGCGCAACGCGAUGCUCUCUGUUGAGUGAAAUCUCAUCACAAAAGCACCCCUCAGACUGGUGAAGUGUGUACAAAUGCGUGUGUGUGUAUACAACACAUUUGCGAAUAGCGUACCAGGGAAAAAGGACACAAACAAAAGGAAUUUUGUGUGUGUGUCCUCUUUCGUGCGUGCUGAACUCUGUGUGUGUGCUGCCGUUUUGUUUGCAGCUUGAAAUGCUUGGUUGAGUAGAAAUCGGUACUUGAUUGUUGCCGCAUUUCGAGGAAUUUCAUCCAAAAAAGAGGUCAACAACAACCAACUGACAAACUUUGUUGGAUCUGUGGGGGAAAAACACACACAAAAACACACAUGUCAUUUUGGCAUGCGUGCGUGCGUGCGUGAAUAUCUUCCACAAAAAUAUAUAUAUAUAUAUAUAAAAUAAAUAUAUAUAUAUAUAUACCAUAACAACAUUCAAAGGAUCAUCAAUGUGUGUGAGACGUGUGCGUGUUUAUAGUGUGUGUGUUUUUUGUUGUGUAUAUGGUGUGUGUUGUAUCGUUCAUGCGUACUUACUAUACUACAUAUUACACACAAUACACCACACACGACGGACGCCGCGCGGACCAACUUGAGAUCUGGUUGAUUCUGCCAGUAGUCAUAUGCUUGUUUCAAGGACUUAGCCAUGCAU
rnacentral:precursor_RNA from 1 species